rnacentral:rRNA from 1 species
AUGCUCAAUAUUGUUCAUGCGACUGUGUAUGAAUCUUCUGUACGUGCAGAUUAUCAGGCAUUGUUUAAUGCUGCCGAGGGUGUAACAGAGAAAAAUCAGUUUGAUGUACGGAUGCUUCAUGCGAUGGUAGCUAAUGAUCUCUGUACUGAUGACAGUUUUGUGGAUCUAAUGUCGUCGAGGUGGCUGCUUCUCUUACCGAAGAUCAGAAGAAGCCUGGAUAUGUGCACCAAGUUUUAG